UGAUGAAUCAGUUUCGAUUCAGUUUCUUCAUCAUCUAUAAUAGGAUUUUUAGGGAUUCAUAAAUCGAUUUUAGGGUUUGAGUCUGUAUUAUGAUUCGAUUUUAGUUUGUUCGUCGGAGUUCGCACUUGGAAGAACUGAUCUUCACUCUCAGCUAAUCGUGAGAAAGCAUCUGUUCUACUUUGUUUAAUUUAGAUGCAGAUGAGAAUGAAGUUGAUAAGUUAACUGAGAAGCUACAAGGGGUUGGGAUUGGUUCUGGAUUGCUUCUGGUAGUGCUGAUGGUGUUGUUCUAACUACUUCUAAGGUUAAGAAGUAGAGGGAGUAGUCAGUUUUGUGUGGAUGAUGCAUUUGGAAGGGGCUUGAUUGAGUGAUACUGAGAUUAGCAGAAGGAGAAGUUUGCUGGGAAGGCUUAAUGUCGUAUAAGCAAUUUAUUCAAGAGCUUGAAGAUGAUAUACUGCCGGCUGAAGCUGAGCACAGGUAUCAGGAAUACAGAUCAGAGUACAUUUCUACUCAGAAACGUACUUUCUUUGAUGCACACAAGGAUGACGAGUGGCUGAAAGACAAAUAUCACCCAAAAAAUUUAGUAUCAGUUAUUGAAAGGAGAGAUCAGUUUAGGGGUCUUGACAAAGAUAUAUCUCAUGGAUAAGGGUACUGACGCUGUUGAUGGUAAUGUCUUGAUUGACAUUCUUGGGGUUCACCAGAUAUUAGAAUGAAAAUGAUAUCGACUACAGUUCCCUUGGAUUGAUGUUGUUAACCGCUACCAAGACAAUAUUAACAGAAGUGUUGACAUGAUUGCUGCUUGUCGCAGGGAGUGGGAGUAUUCUGCAAGUACCCUUGAUAGCUGGUGCUCUCCAUGUUCGUGCAUUAUUCCAAGAUGCUAAGAAAAAGGUUCCCGAUAGUGGGUAAUGGAAUUACAACAUCAAUGGAGUGAAGCAUAACACUAAUCUGACGUGUGGGAUAAAUCUGGGAUCGAUGGUGACACUGAGAAUAUCAGCUCGUUUGGUGGGGUACCUUCUAUCAAGAAAGGGUUUGAAUAUCCUUGGGCAUGGAAGUCCCCUUGGCUUAUGAACUAUCUAUGAACUGACUGGCAUCUCUGAUUGUUGCUUUUCAAUGUUGUAAGCUUUGUAAGUUAUAAUGUAGGAAGUUUCUAUGAACUCGGCAAGUUUUUUAACUUAGAAUUUGAUACUUACAAAAAAUUUGGUACUUGGAAGAAUUUAUGUUCUUCUUUGAUUGAAAGCUAUAUGAAUUGACUGAAUGUGAUGUGACUGUGAUGGAAUGAAAAGGGUAGG